UGCUUUGUUUCUGAAUAUCAGUGCUUAGAAAUGAGUUACUGAGUGUGAGAGACAGGCUGACAUAAAAGGAGAGGGGAUAUAGAGUGACCGAGACUGAGGGAGGAAGGGAAAAACAUCCCUCGCGCUCUCUUGCUGUCUCUCUCUCUCACACACA